rnacentral:rRNA from 1 species
AUUGAACGCUGGCGGCGUGCUUAACACAUGCAAGUCGAACGAAGUGGCGGACGGGUGAGUAACGCGUGAGUAACUGCCCCCCUCUCUGGGAUAACAGUUGGAAACGGCUGCUAAUACCGGAUAGUGGGGGAUGACUCGCGUCCUAUCAGCUUGUUGGUGGGGUAGUGGCCUACCAAGGCGACGACGGGUAGCCGGCCUGAGAGGGCGACUGGCCACAUUGGGCUGAGAUACGGCCCAAACGCCUACGGGCGGAAGCAGUGGGGAAUAUUGCACAAUGGGGGACACCCUGAUGCAGCAACGCCGCGUGCGGGAUGACGGCCUUCGGGUUGUAAACCGCUUUCAGCCAUGACGCGGUAGUGGCAGAAGAAGCACCGGCUAACUACGUGCCAGCAGCCGCGGUAAUAC